AUUGAACGCUGGCGGCAGGCCUAACACAUGCAAGUCGAACGGUAACAGGAAGAAGCUUGCUUCUUUGCUGACGAGUGGCGGACGGGUGAGUAAUGUCUGGGAAACUGCCUGAUGGAGGGGGAUAACUACUGGAAACGGUAGCUAAUACCGCAUAACGUCGCAAGACCAAAGAGGGGGACCUUCGGGCCUCUUGCCAUCGGAUGUGCCCAGAUGGGAUUAGCUAGUAGGGGGGGUAACGGCUCACCUAGGCGACGAUCCCUAGCUGGUCUGAGAGGAUGACCAGCCACACUGGAACUGAGCCACGGUCCAGACUCCUACGGGAGGCAGCAGUGGGGAAUAUUGCACAAUGGGCGCAAGCCUGAUGCAGCCAUGCCGCGUGUAUGAAGAAGGCCUUCGGGUUGUAAAGUACUUUCAGCGGGGAGGAAGGGAGUAAAGUUAAUACCUUUGCUCAUUGACGUUACCCGCAGAAGAAGCACCGGCUAACUCCGUG
rnacentral:rRNA from 1 species